UAAAACAUCUUUCUGUAGUGUGUCGGGUC
rnacentral:sRNA from 1 species